rnacentral:rRNA from 1 species
UACGAAGGGGGCUAGCGUUGUUCGGAAUUACUGGGCGUAAAGCGCACGUAGGCGGACAUUUAAGUUGGAGGUGAAAGCCUUGGGCUCAACCCAAGAAUUGCCUUUGAUACUGGAUGUCUCGAGACCGGGAGAGGUGAGUGGAAUUCCGAGUGUAGAGGUGAAAUUCGUAGAUAUUCGGAAGAACACCAGUGGCGAAGGCGGCUCACUGGCCCGGUUCUGACGCUGAGGUGCGAAAGCGUGGGAGCAAACAGG